rnacentral:rRNA from 1 species
UACAGGGGGGGCAAGCGUUGUUCGGAAUUACUGGGCGUAAAGGGUUCGUAGGUGGCCAACUAAGUCAGACGUGAAAUCCCUCAGCUUAACUGGGGAACUGCGUCUGAUACUGUAUGGCUUGAGUGUAGGAGAGGAAUGCGGAAUUCCAGGUGUAGCGGUGAAAUGCGUAGAUAUCUGGAGGAACACCGGUGGCGAAGGCGGCAUUCUGGACUACAACUGACGCUGAGGAACGAAAGCCAGGGGAGCAAACGGG